AUUGAACGCUGGCGGCAGGCUUAACACAUGCAAGUCGAGCGGGGGAAGGUAGCUUGCUACCGGACCUAGCGGCGGACGGGUGAGUAAUGCUUAGGAAUCUGCCUAUUAGUGGGGGACAACAUCUCGAAAGGGAUGCUAAUACCGCGUACGUCCUACGGGAGAAAGCAGGGGAUCUUCGGACCUUGCGCUAAUAGAUGAGCCUAAGUCGGAUUAGCUAGUUGGUGGGGUAAAGGCCUACCAAGGCGACGAUCUGUAGCGGGUCUGAGAGGAUGAGCCGACAAACUGGGACUGGGACACGGACCAGACUCCUACGGGAGGCAGCAGUGGGGAAUAUUGGACAAUGGGGGGAACCCUGAUCCAGCCAUGCCGCGUGUGUGAAGAAGGCCUUAUGGUUGUAAAGCACUUUAAGCGAGGAGGAGGCUACUCUAGUUAAUACCUAGGGAUAGUGGACGUUACUCGCAGAAUAAGCACCGGCUAACUCUGUGCCAGCCGCCGCCGUAA
rnacentral:rRNA from 1 species